UGAGGAAUUUUGCGCAAUGGGCGAAAGCCUGACGCAGCGACGCCGCGUGGAGGAUGAAGUCUUUCGAGAUGUAAACUUCUGUCAGUAGGGAUGAUAAUGACAGUACCUACAGAGGAAGCACCGGCUAACUCCGUGCCAGCAGCCGCGGUAAUACGGAGGGUGCAAGCGUUGUUCGGAAUUACUGGGCGUAAAGCGUACGUAGGCGGCGAGUUAAGUCGAAUGUUAAAGCCCGGGGCUCAACCCCGUGGAUGCCUUCGAUACUGGCUUGCUAGAGGGUGAUAGAGGAAAGUGGAAUUCCGAGUGUAGCGGUGAAAUGCGUAGAUAUUCGGAGGAACAUCAGUAGCGAAGGCGACUUUCUGGGUCACACCUGACGCUGAGGUACGAAAGCGUGGGUAGCAAACAGG
rnacentral:rRNA from 1 species